rnacentral:rRNA from 1 species
AUUGAACGCUGGCAGCAGGCCUAACACAUGCAAGUCGAACGGUAGCACAGAGAGCUUGCUCUCGGGUGACGAGUGGCGGACGGGUGAGUAAUGUCUGGGAAACUGCCCGAUGGAGGGGGAUAACUACUAGAAACGGUAGCUAAUACCGCAUAACGUCGCAAGACCAAAGUGGGGGACCUUCGGGCCUCACACCAUCGGAUGUGCCCAGAUGGGAUUAGCUAGUAGGUGGGGUAAUGGCUCACCUAGGCGACGAUCCCUAGCUGGUCUGAGAGGAUGACCAGCCACACUGGAACUGAGACACGGUCCAGACUCCUACGGGAGGCAGCAGUGGGGAAUAUUGCACAAUGGGCGCAAGCCUGAUGCAGCCAUGCCGCGUGUACGAAGAAGGCCUUCGGGUUGUAAAGUACUUUCAGCGGGGAGGAAGGGUUGCUGGUUAAUAACCAGCGACAUUGACGUUACCCGCAGAAGAAGCACCGGCUAACUCCGUGCCAGCCGCCGCAGUAA